UAUAUAUUGUAUAAUAUAAUUUUGAAAUAAUAUUGCCUUAACCUGUCUGCAAAGACAUCUUUCAGGAUUUGUCAGUAGGGGGUUACGACAGUAAGGUGCUUCUGGUUUGUUACUGUGGUGAUGCGGUAUGAGUUGCUUUACGGCAGGCUGAAGAAAACAAAACAGGAGCGACGCUAGUGAGGAAAAAAGACUACAUUUGGCAGCUGCUAUCAGAGUUAAACGAAUGCGGUAACUUAAUGCUUACAAGUGUUGUAAAGCGAGAACCUUAAAGUAAAAUAUGGUAGCCAAGGUAGUGGGCGUGAAAACUGUGGACCUGACAACACUGCUCCAAACCGAGAAGCCGGGCGAGGAUGAAACCCGUUAGGAACGCCAGUGAAAGGACAAAACUGACCCGGAACGCCUCCGUGAGCUCAGCACAGACUUUGAAAGAGAGUCCAAGCCCAAGGGCUGAGGUGGUAGGAUAUUUAGAGUGAAAUAACGACAUCCUGGCAUUUGGUGUAGAGGUGGAGAGAAAGAAAGCCAUUUCUGAACCAAACCAACUGAAAUCCUGUACAGGGUCUGCAGCAACACAUUUAUUUUUUUGUCCAGUUUUCUUUUGUAUUACCACUUUAAAAUGUCUUUGUGACAGUGUCUGUAAAAAGCGCUAUACAAAUAAAGUUUAAUUGAAUUUUUUGGGACUCUGCAAACGUGUAGCCGAAGGUUUUGUGACCAAAAUAAGACCACCGUGGAGAAAUCUGGAGAAAACCCAAGAAAGUGCAGUCCACCCCGAAGAGGAAAAGUUGCUUUGGUCUGCUAAAGACUUAAAACCAGGACAAAAACUCCUGUUUCAGAAGGACUGUGACCCAGAACACAAGGCCAAAGCCCUGGAGUGGCUUAAUCCUGACUUUGUUCUCGUAGAAAACCUCUGGCAAGACAUGAUUUCUCCAACCAACUUUGCUGACAGUAAUGGGCAAAAAUGGAACCUUCCUGGUGUGUGAAGUUGGUAGUCUUAACCAAAAAAAAAAAAUGCUUCCACCAAGUAUUGACUGGGGGGUAGGGUGGGGGGGGGGUGAAUAUAAUAAAAAUAUUUCAGUAUUGAAUUU